CGGGCGCGGCGGCGGUCUAAGUCUCUUGGAACGGGGCGUCAUAGAGGGUGAGAAUCCCGUAUGUGACCGGCGACCAAGCCUAUGUGAAACUCCUUCGACGAGUCGAGUUGUUUGGGAAUGCAGCUCAAAAUGGGUGGUAAAUUUCAUCUAAAGCUAAAUAUUGGCCAGAGACCGAUAGCGCACAAGUAGAGUGAUCGAAAGAUGAAAAGCACUUUGGAAAGAGAGUCAAAAAGUACGUGAAAUUGUUGAAAGGGAAGCGCUUGCAACCAGACCUGCCCGCGGGCGAUCAGCCGUCUCUUGGGGGCGGUGCACGCGCCCGUGUACAGGCCAGCAUCGGUUCGGGCGGCCGGAUAAAGGCCUCGGGAAUGUAGCUCCUCUCGGGGAGUGUUAUAGCCCUUGGCGCAAUGCGGCCAGCCCGGACCGAGGACCGCGCUUCGGCUAGGAUGCUGGCGUAAUGGUUGUAAGCGGCCCGUCUUGAAACACGGACCAAGGAGUCUAACAUCUAUGCGAGUGUUUGGGUGUCAAACCCAUACGCGUAAUGAAAGUGAACGGAGGUAGGAACCCUUGAGGGCGCACUAUCGACCGAUCCUGAUGUCUUCGGAUGGAUUUGAGUACGAGCAUAGCUGUUGGGACCCGAAAGAUGGUGAACUAUGCCUGAAUAGGGUGAAGCCAGAGGAAACUCUGGUGGAGGCUCGCAGCGGUUCUGACGUGCAAAUCGAUCGUCAAAUUUGGGUAUAGGGGCGAAGUAAGUUUAUAAUUUCUG
rnacentral:rRNA from 1 species